AUUGAACGCUGGCGGCAGGCCUAACACAUGCAAGUCGAGCGAGCGGCGGACGGGAGAGUAAUGUAUGGGGCCUGCCCGCUAGUGGGGGAUAACUAUUGUAAACGGUGGCUAAUACCGUAUACUAUCGGAUAACCCAUAUGGGAUUAGCUAGUAGGUGGGGCAAAGGUGCACCUAGGCGACGAUAUCUAUCUUGUCUGAGAGGAUGAACAGCCACACUGGAACUAAGACACAGCCCGGACUCCUACGGAGGCAGCAGUGGGGAAUAUUGCACAAUAGGAGCAAGCCGGAUACAGCAAUGCCGCGUGUAGGAAGAAGGCAUUAGAGUUGUAAAGUACUUACGGUGACGAGGCAUUAACUACAGAAGGAGCACCAGCUAACUCCGUGCCAGCAGCCACGGUAAUAC
rnacentral:rRNA from 1 species